CCUACGGGGUGCAGCAGUGGGGAAUAUUGGACAAUGGGCGAAAGCCUGAUCCAGCCAUGCCGCGUGUGUGAAGAAGGCCUUCGGGUUGUAAAGCACUUUCAGUGGGGAAGAAAGCCUUGGGGCUAAUACCCUCGAGGAAGGACAUCACCCACAGAAGAAGCACCGGCUAACUCCGUGCCAGCAGCCGCGGUAAUACGGAGGGUGCGAGCGUUAAUCGGAAUUACUGGGCGUAAAGCGCGCGUAGGCGGUCUGAUAAGCCGGUUGGGAAAGCCCCGGGCUCAACCUGGGAACGGCAUCCGGAACUGUCAGGCUAGAGUGCAGGAGAGGAAGGUAGAAUUCCCGGUGUAGCGGUGAAAUGCGUAGAGAUCGGGAGGAAUACCAGUGGCGAAGGCGGCCUUCUGGACUGACACUGACGCUGAGGUGCGAAAGCGUGGGUAGCAAACAGGAUUAGAUACCCCGGUAGUC
rnacentral:rRNA from 1 species